AUAUCAGGAUAUUUAAGGUGUUCAUAAAAAUUGUCUUCUAAACUUGGC
rnacentral:antisense_RNA from 1 species